rnacentral:tRNA from 1 species
GCUCGUAUAGCUCAGUUGGUUAGAGCGCCGUACUUAUAAUGCGGAGGCCGUGGGUUCGAACCCCACUAUGAGCA